rnacentral:rRNA from 1 species
GAUGAACGCUAGCGACGGGCCUAACACAUGCAAGUCGAGGGGCAGCGAAGAAGUAGCAAUACCUCUGUCGGCGACCGGCGCACGGGUGAGUAACACGUAUGCAACCUACCUGCUACAGGGGAAUAGCCCGUUGAAAGACGGAUUAAUACCCCAUAAUACAGGGCUCCCGCAUGGGAAUAUUUGUUAAAGAUUAAUCGGUAGUAGAUGGGCAUGCGCUUCAUUAGCUAGUUGG